rnacentral:ncRNA from 1 species
AUAAAGGCAAAGAAGAGAAAAAGUAAAAUGACAUGGUUUUUUCACAGAGAGCUUCGGCAGCUGAAAAGAAGCAAAAACACUCAUUUGAACAAUGGUCUCUGAGCUUCGUACUGAACAUACUGAAAGGUAUUAGUAGGCUGCGACGAGUUUUGGCACUCGUUAUCCAUGUCACAGUAUAAGAGUAUAUUUUGGGUACUCCGUACUUGCUAAGGCAAAUAGUGUGAGCUAUUUGCGAAAUAAGGUGGUAUCACGUGGAUUAUCAAACCUCGUCCUUAAC